rnacentral:sRNA from 1 species
AACAGAUGUUUUAUUGAAUGCCUAAGACCUGCCAAUGCUAUGUUGGUACAAAGACUACAAAUCCCAGUGCCUGGCCAUCAAGGUGAUCAGGGGCAAAAUGUGCCUAGUGAGUAAGGAUGAGUCAGGGGUGACAAUAUGUUGAGCUUGGAUGAUGGAAAGAAAGAUAAAUCCAUGAGAGAUGAAAAACUUUCAUCUUUUUCCCACAUGAUGAUUUUGAGCAUCUUUGUAUUUUCUAACUUGGUGAUUAUCAAGUGAAGCAGAAGCCAUGACCAUUUAUAUACUGUAUAUGUGCCUUUCCCAUGGAACUUUUUUAGGGCACUAAGAAUUUCAAAUUCUAAGAAUGAAAUGUUUUCAUGUCUUUUUUAUUCAGGGAAAUGAAAAAGAAAAAACUUCCAAGUGACUCAGGAGAUUUAGAAGCGUUAGAGGGAAAGGAUAAAGAAAAAGAAAGUACUGUACACAUUGAAACUCAUCAGAACACAAGCAAAAAUGUUGCGGCUGUGCAGCCAAUGAAACGAGGACAAAAGAGUAAAAUGAAAAAAAUGAAAGAAAAAUACAAAGACCAGGAUGAAGAAGACCGUGAACUUAUCAUGAAGUUGCUGGGG